AGUGAACGCUGGCGGUAGGCCUAACACAUGCAAGUCGAACGGCAGCACAGUAAGAGCUUGCUCUUACGGGUGGCGAGUGGCGGACGGGUGAGGAAUACAUCGGAAUCUACUUUUUCGUGGGGGAUAACGUAGGGAAACUUACGCUAAUACCGCAUACGACCUACGGGUGAAAGCAGGGGAUCCUCGGACCUUGCGCGAUUGAAUGAGCCGAUGUCGGAUUAGCUAGUUGGCGGGGUAAAGGCCCACCAAGGCGACGAUCCGUAGCUGGUCUGAGAGGAUGAUCAGCCACACUGGAACUGAGACACGGUCCAGACUCCUACGGGAGGCAGCAGUGGGGAAUAUUGGACAAUGGGCGCAAGCCUGAUCCAGCCUUACCGCGUGGGUGAAGAAGGCCUUCGGGUUGUAAAGCCCUUUUGUUGGGAAAGAAAAGCAGCAGGUUAAUACCCCGCUGUUCUGACGGUACCCAAAGAAUAAGCACCGGCUAACUUCG
rnacentral:rRNA from 1 species